rnacentral:rRNA from 1 species
GUGGGGAAUCUUCCGCAAUGGACGAAAGUCUGACGGAGCAACGCCGCGUGAGUGAUGAAGGUCUUCGGAUUGUAAAGCUCUGUUAAUCGGGACGAAAGAGCCUAGUGUGAAUAAUGCUAGGAAGUGACGGUACCGGAAUAGAAAGCCACGGCUAACUACGUGCCAGCAGCCGCGGUAAUACGUAGGUGGCAAGCGUUGUCCGGAAUUAUUGGGCGUAAAGCGCGCGCAGGCGGAUCUGCCAGUCUGUCUUAAAAGUUCGGGGCUUAACCCCGUGAUGGGAUAGAAACUACAGAUCUAGAGUAUCGGAGAGGAAAGUGGAAUUCCUAGUGUAGCGGUGAAAUGCGUAGAUAUUAGGAAGAACACCAGUGGCGAAGGCGACUUUCUGGACGAAAACUGACGCUGAGGCGCGAAAGCCAGGGGAGCGAACGGGAUUAGAUACCCUAGUAGUCC